rnacentral:sRNA from 2 species
CAAGCAGAGAGCAAUAUUACUACAUGCUGCACAACUAUAUCUUUGCAAUAAGAUAGCACUAUAACCAUUAGAUUAUCCAAAAAGCUAACAUAAUCAUUUGUUAAAUGGUUGUGCUCAUAGUAUCUGUGGGUGUGGUGGUGUGGCCACUCAACCCACCAUCUAUCUAUACACUGACAGAUUGCUUUCACUUUGCAUCUAUUUUUGUACUAUCUAAUAAAAAAAAUUAGUCAAUCUGAUUAAAAGAAGCAUUAAGAAAUUGAAGAUUAUCUAUAGAAGUCAUAUUUCUUUCUCAAAGCAGAGUGAUCAGAGUGAUAAGAAGAUCAUGAAUAUGAAUGAAUCA